GAUGAAGAACGCAGCGAAAUGCGAUAAGUAAUGUGAAUUGCAGAAUUCAGUGAAUCAUCGAAUCUUUGAACGCACAUUGCGCCCCUUGGUAUUCCGAGGGGCAUGCCUGUUCGAGCGUCAUUAUAACCCCUCAAGCUCAGCUUGGUGUUGGGUCCUGCUGCACUGGCAGCCCUUAAAAUCAGUGGCGGCGCCAUCUGGCUCUAAGCGUAGUAAUUCUUCUCGCUAUGGAGUCCUGGUGGAUGCUUGCCAUCAACCCCCAAUUUUUCUAUGGUUGACCUCGGAUCAGGUAGGGAUACCCGCUGAACUUAAGCAUAUCAAUAAGCGGAGGA
rnacentral:misc_RNA from 1 species